rnacentral:rRNA from 1 species
CUAACACAUGCAAGUCGAGCGGCAGCGAGGUAAGUGGCAACACUUAUUGUCGGCGAGCGGCGGACGGGUGAGGAACACGUAGGAAUCUACCUAGAAGACUGGGAUACCCAAGGGAAACUUUGGUUAAUACCGGAUACUACUCGAGAGAGGAAACCUGCUCUGCAAGGGGUGGGGGUUUUAGAGGAGCCGGCGUCCGAUUAGCUAGUUGGUAGGGUAAGGGCCUACCAAGGCGAUGAUCGGUAACUGGUCUGAGAGGACGACCAGUCACACUGGGACUGAGACACGGCCCAGACUCCUACGGGAGGCAGCAGUGGGGAAUCUUGGACAAUGGGGGCAACCCUGAUCCAGCGAUGCCGCGUGGGUGAAGAAGGCCUUCGGGUUGUAAAGCCCUUUAGGUUGGGAAGAAAGAUGUUUGAGGAAAUGCGAACAUUGUGACGGUACCGACAGAAUAAGCACCGGCAAACUCUGUGCCAGCCGCCGCGGUAA